UUCCUCCUACGGGACGCAGCAGUGAGGAAUAUUGGUCAAUGGCCGAGAGGCUGAACCAGCCACGUCGCGUGAGGGAAGACGGCCCUACGGGUUGUAAACCUCUUUUGUCGGGGAGCAAAGCGAGUCACGUGUGACUCAUUGAGAGUACCCGAAGAAAAAGCAUCGGCUAACUCCGUGCCGGCAGCCGCGGUAAUACGGAGGAUGCGAGCGUUAUCCGGAUUUAUUGGGUUUAAAGGGUGCGCAGGCGGAGGUGCAAGUCAGCGGUCAGAUUGCGGGGCUCAACCCCGUACUGCCGGUGCACCUGC
rnacentral:rRNA from 1 species